UAAAAUUGGAACGAUACAGAGAA
rnacentral:piRNA from 4 species